UCCAUCCCACACUACGUUUGCUAACACGCUAUCUCCACUCCAAGACACUUGCUCCAGCGGCUAUUAGUACUGCGACACACUAAACAAAAACAUUACACAUCCCACUUCUGAGCUAACGCCGUUUCGAUUUUUAGAAGAAGAAUAAAUGCUUAAUUUACUACUCUGCUCCACUAUUGGUAACUUCAAAACUUCUCUCUCUAGACUGACAAAUGAUAUUAUGUGUCUAUGAUAUCAGCUAUACCAUGAAGCUUACACGCUACACGUAUGGUGUCCUACAAUAGAAUCCCUCGGGAAAAAAUUCUCAGACCUAAAAUGAAUAUUGAUAAAAAAAAACGUGGAGAGCGUCGCCAGCGGAAAUCGAAUCACUGACUGCCGGCGUUUAGUUUAACGUCACCACUUUACCUGAGUGGCCGUUGAUAUUAAUGAUAAUUCAAUAUGAUCAUGGAGAUGAAGAACCAAAACUGGUAACUAUGAUUUAAAAUAAGAGACUUUUCGUUUUUCUGAAUUUCGUAUAAUGUGAUUUUUAAAUUACUAGAUAACAAGACGAACAAAAUACUUUUUGACUUGUUUGAUGUCAAUGCUGUUUAAAAACACACUCGUUUUUACGUGUUUGGGUUCGCGAGGUCCUCAGUUAUCAAUUACGAACUUAAUGAUGAAAAAACUAAUAAGUAAUGAUAUCAUAUCAUCUGAUAAUAUAUGAAUUAU